rnacentral:tRNA from 1 species
CGGGGCAUAGCGCAGUCCGGCUAGCGCACCUGCUUUGGGAGCAGGGGGUCCCAGGUUCGAAUCCUGGUACCCCGA